ensembl:lncRNA
GGCUGCAUUAAUGCCACACAAAUGUGCCGUAGCGCACAUAGAAGUACAAAAGGAAUGCCGAGCACGCGGUGACUUUGGCACGGGAUGGGGCUGUGGUACAGUGAGUCAGAAAAGCUCGUUAGGAGCUUUGAAAAACCAGGAGGGCCCCAGGAGUGCAGGAUGUUCCUUUGGGCACAGCUGUGCGACGGCAAGGCUUGCAGAAUGCAGCACCGGGCUGCGGGACGCUCGCGUUCAGCAGGGAGCGGCAGGCACUGUGCUUCUCACAUGCAGGCUCUGGGUUGUCAUGGAUCCAGCUCUGCCUGCUGGUGGCUGACAGGCUCAGCGCCCGCAUCCUGCCCCAGCUCCGGAUCUGCUCCACGCGGGUCGCGCGGCGUCAGGAGGGAGCUGUGUGUGGCAGGGAACAUCGGACCGCCUCAUCGGGUCUCCUCCAGGUGUUCCUUUUGGGGGUGCCGUGGGGGAUGUGGAGACUGAUCCCGGGAAACGCUCCCCUCACAGGAUGCCCAGGCCUGUGUAAGUGAGAAGUCCAUCAGCCAGGGAGGGGUCCAUGGCUGACAUUCCACCACUGGGUGCAGGAUGCUGCAUGGCAUCAAGAACAACGUCACCAACAUGCUCGAUGUGGACUGCAACGGCCCGAGCCCUUGCUUGCCUGGCGAGACCUUUGUGCUGCGGCCACUGCUGCCCUAACGCUUGCGGUUCACCACCCGUACUGCCUGCAGCUUGGCCGACUGCGUAUCCCGCUGAGCUCACUGCUCUUUGGAGGUGGAAAAAAACAG